rnacentral:rRNA from 1 species
CCCUUAGAUGUUCUGGGCCGCACGCGCGCUACACUGACGAAGUCAGCGAGCAUGUCCUACGCCGACAGGUGCGGGGAAUCUUGUCAAACUUCGUCGUGAUGGGGAUAGAUUAUUGCAAUUAUUAGUCUUGAACGAGGAAUUCCUAGUAAGCACAAGUCAUCAGCUUGUGUUGAUUACGUCCCUGCCCUUUGUACACACCGCCCGUCGCUCCUACCGAUUGAAUGUUCCGGUGAGCUCUUCGGACUGCGCGGUCUGCAGUUUCUGCGUUCCGUGCGGAAAGUUGCGCAAACCUUAACAUUUAGAGGAAGGAGAAGUCGUAACA